AGGAUGAACGCUAGCGGCAGGCCUAAUACAUGCAAGUCGAACGGUGGUAGCAAUACCAUAGUGGCGCACGGGUGCGUAACGCGUAACCAACCUACCUGAAUCUGGGGGGUAGCCCGCCGAAAGGCGGAUUAAUACCGCAUAAGACUAUAGAGUGGCAUCACUUCGUAGUUAAAGAUUUAUUGGAUUCAGAUGGGGUUGCGUAGCAUUAGCUAGUUGGCGGGGUAAUGGCCCACCAAGGCGACGAUCCAUAGCUGGUCUGAGAGGACGAUCAGCCACACUGGGACUGAGACACGGCCCAGACUCCUACGGGAGGCAGCAGUGGGGAAUCUUGCGCAAUGGGCGAAAGCCUGACGCAGCGACGCCGCGUGGGGAAGAAGGCCUUAGGGUUGUAAACCUCUUUCAGGUGGGACGAAGCCACUCGGGUUAAUAGCCCAGAGGGUGACGGUACCGCCAGAAGAAGCCCCGGCUAACUACGUGCCAGCAGCCGC
rnacentral:rRNA from 1 species